rnacentral:rRNA from 1 species
UACGUAGGGUGCGAGCGUUGUCCGGAAUUACUGGGCGUAAAGGGCGCGUAGGCGGCACGGCAAGUCAGGAGUGAAAGGCCUGGGCUCAACCGAGGAACUGCUUUUGAGACUGCCGAGCUAGAGUGCAGAAGGGGCAACUGGAAUUCCCAGUGUAGCGGUGAAAUGCGUAGAUAUUGGGAAGAACACCUGAGGCGAAGGCGGGUUGCUGGGCUGACACUGACGCUGAGGCGCGAAGGCCAGGGGAGCAAACGGG